rnacentral:rRNA from 1 species
AGCAGCCGCGGUAAUUCCAGCUCCAAUAGCGUAUAUUAAAGUUGCUGCAGUUAAAAAGCUCGUAGUUGAAUUUCGGGACCAUCAUGUCGGUCGUGCCUCGGUACGUACUGGUAUUGUUGGUUUCUCCCUUCUGACGAACCAUGAUGUCAUUUAUUUGGUGUUGUGGGGAAUCAGGACUGUUACUUUGAAAAAAUUAGAGUGUUUAAAGCAGGCUCACGCUUGAAUACAUUAGCAUGGAAUAAUGAAAUAGGACGUUUGAUUCUAUUUUGUUGGUUUCUAGGAUCGACGUAAUGAUUAAUAGGGAUAGUUGGGGGCAUUAGUAUUCAAUUGUCAGAGGUGAAAUUCUUGGAUUUAUUGAAGACUAACUACUGCGAAAGCAUUUGCCAAGGAUGUUUUCAUUAAUCAAGAACGAAAGUUAGGGGAUCGAAGACGAUCAGAUACCGUCGUAGUCUUAACCAUAAACUAUGCCGACUAGGGAUCGGAUGAUGUUAAUUUUUAAUGACUCAUUCGGCGCCUUAAC